AUUGAACGCUGGCGGCAGGCCUAACACCUGCAAGUCGAACGAGUGGCGGCAGGGUGAGUAAUGUCUGGGAAACUGCCUGAUGGAGGGGGAUAACUACUGGCAACGGUAGCUAAUACCGCAUACCCUCAGCUGUGGCCAGAUGGGAUUUGCUGGUUGGUGGGGUAACGGCUCACCAAGUAGACGAUCCCUAGCUGGUCUGAGAGGAUGACCAGCGACACUGGAACUGAGACACGGUCCAGACUCCUACGGGAGGCAGCAGUGGGGAAUAUUGCACAAUGGGCGCAAGCCUGAUGCAGCCAUGCCGCGUGGAUGAAGAAGGCCUUCGGGUUGUAAAGUACUUUCAGCGGGGAGGCGUUACCCGCAGAAGAAGCACCGGCUAACUCCGUGCCAGCAGCCGCGGUAAUUC
rnacentral:rRNA from 1 species